AAUUUUGGGGUGUUAAAGCAUGUUUGCUUUCCAAGCAGAAGGUCUCUUUAUAGAGCAAAAUUA
rnacentral:tRNA from 1 species